CAGACUGGUAUUGGACCCUUGGGUGGUGGAGUGAGUGAGUAAUGUUUUAGCAGGAAGAUUUUCAACCAUCGGCCCAAUUUGUGGAAAGAAACACGACCCAGCAGACCGUGUCGGCCGAAAAUCUGAAAGGAAAGGAACAUUUCUCCCGGAGUUUCGUAUCCAUCUGAUUCCUCUAAGAGAACCUGAAUAAGCCGCCUACCAAAAAUUGAGAUCCUGCUCAUAAAAUUCAAACUUGCUAUUUUACAGACCAAGCUUCACUGAGUUUGGCCUGAAAUGUAUACGCCCCGAAAAGAAAUCGUUUCAAGUCACUUUGAGAAAAUUCCUGGCAUAAGAAAUGAAUUAAGUCCGAUGGUGGCUCAGCAUAUAUAAAGUUUAUAGAACCUCACAAUGUGCCAGUAGCAAUAUUAAUAAGAGUUACAACCCCUGGAAAUUGUCCAUUGUUAGAACUACAGAUAGCAGGAUGAUAUAUCCAGGAAGCUAAAAGCAAGUUUGUGACUGAUGUAGAGUUGCUCAAAUAAUAACAAUAAUAAUAAAUCAAUCAUAUUUAUUGA